AAUCAACGCUGGCGGCGUGCCUAACACAUGCAAGUCGAACGAGAAAGUGGAGCAAUCCAUGAGUAAAGUGGCGCACGGGUGAGUAACACGUGACUAACCUACCCUUAAGUGGGGGAUAACCUCGGGAAACCGGGGCUAAUACCGCAUAAUCUCGAGAGAGAAAAGGAGCAAUUCGCUUUUGGAGGGGGUCGCGGCUGAUUAGUUAGUUGGUAGGGUAAUGGCCUACCAAGACGAUGAUCAGUAUCCGGCCUGAGAGGGCGCACGGACACA
rnacentral:rRNA from 1 species